AGAUUUGGAUUUAAUUAUCGCUAGUAGCAUUCCUUAAUUAUUAUAGAUUUUAUUUAAAGAAGAAAAGAGGAUGUUAAAAAAGGGCCGAUUUUCGCUUAAAAGGGUGUAAGUAAAAAGAAUAGUGAUAGAUGUUGAUUUCUUAAAUACGAUAAAGCUAUUAAAAAAUUUGUGGCGCUUGGGGAACACCUUGAAAACUGAGUAUAAACGUAAAAAUUUGGAUGAUAUAUGCUACGUUAUAUCGCAUAAAAGAUGAAUUAUGUUUAUAAAAAUGAAAAAAUAUGUAAAAUGUAUUCAAUAUCGUAGAAUACGUAUGUUGUAAACGUAUAUUUAGUACAGUACAAAGAGUGAUAAGACUAUAACUGAUCAUCGGCAAUCAGUCGAAUCGAGUCGCAGCGAGCACUUGCGAUAUAACGUAUUAUCACUCUUUGUACUAAAUAUACGUUUACAACAUACGUAUCCUACAAUAUUAGACACAUUUGACAUAUUUUUUCAUUUUUAUAAACAUAAAUUCAUCUUUUAUGCGAUAUAACGUAGCAUACAUCAUCCGAAUUUCUGUAAAUACACCAUGUUUAUGCUCAAUUUUCAAGGUAUUCCCCAAGCGCCACAAACUUUUUAAUAGCUUUAUCGUAUUCAGGAGAUCAAAAUCUACAAAAAAACAUUAUUCCUUUUACUUACACCUUUUUAGGAGAAAAUCAGCCUUUUUUUAUUAACAUCCUCCUUUAAUUCAUAAAUAAGACAAUUAAUUUGUAGAUUAAACAGGUGAAAUAUCCUUCAUUCUACAUAUAAAUAUGUGUAAAUAUGUGUACAUAUGAAUGUGUGUUUUAAUUGAUAGAAGAAAUUGAAAUUAAAUUACAAUAAAUGAGAUUACAUAUAAUUUAAGAUUUAAGUAAUUAUUAAAGUUAAGUUGUAGUUUAAAUUUUUAGUUCUAAAUUUUAUUGUUUAACACUAAAUGACGAGAUUGUUGUUUAUAGAUUGAUGAAAAUGAUGUGUUUAUAAAGGAAAACAUUUUUCCAUAUUGCGAGAGUACCAUUAAUGUGGAUUAUUGCAAGACGAUCGCUUCUAAGUGCGUAGAAAAAGCAAAUCUAUUAGACUCAGGAUCUAACGUUCAAAAAAGCCUAGGUGUAGUAAAAUGUUACUUAAAGAGCGGUUUAGUGGAUUUGAAUGAAGGAUCGAAUGAAGGAACGAAUAAAGGAACGAAUGAAGGAACGAAUAAUGGAA